rnacentral:snoRNA from 1 species
AAGACUAUACUUUCAGGGACUAUUUCUAUAGUUUGUUACUAGAGAAGUUUCUCUGAAUGUAUAACACUGGAAACCUCAGAAAGAAGGUGCAGCGUGUUCUCUUGAGUGUGAAGCAGGCUCUUGGUGUUGCUUUGCUGCAUCUGCCAUUUGCCAUUGAUGAUUGCUCUUCUCUUCCCUCAGGAGAGUAAGAGGGAGACAACAGUCUGAGUGAU